GCGCCUGUAGCUCAGGUGGAUAGAGCAACUGCCUUCUAAGCAGUGGGCCGGGGGUUCGAGUCCCUCCAGGCGUGCCA
rnacentral:tRNA from 2 species